rnacentral:rRNA from 1 species
UACGGAGGUGGCGAGCGUUGUUCGGAAUCACUGGGCGUAAAGGGCGCGUAGGCGGGGUCGGAAGUCGGGUGUGAAAGCCCCGGGCUCAACCCGGGAACGGCGCCCGAGACUCUGGCUCUUGAGUCCCGGAGAGGCGGGUGGAAUUCCUGGUGUAGCGGUGAAAUGUGUAGAGAUCAGGAGGAACACCGGUGGCGUAGGCGGCCCGCUGGGACGGAGACUGACGCUGAGGCGCGAAAGCUAGGGGAGCGAACGGG